rnacentral:tRNA from 1 species
GGAGGCGUAGCUCAGCUGGUUAGAGCGCCUGCUUCACACGCAGGAGGUCCCCGGUUCGAGCCCGGGCGCGUCCACCA